AUCUUGAGAGCGGCGUACGGGUGCGGAACACGUGUGCAACCUGCCUUUAUCUGGGGGAUAGCCUUUCGAAAGGAAGAUUAAUACCCCAUAAUAUACUGAAUGGCAUCAUUCGGUAUUGAAAACUCCGGUGGAUAGAGAUGGGCACGCGCAAGAUUAGAUAGUUGGUGAGGUAACGGCUCACCAAGUCUACGAUCUUUAGGGGGCCUGAGAGGGUGAUCCCCCACACUGGUACUGAGACACGGACCAGACUCCUACGGGAGGCAGCAGUGAGGAAUAUUGGACAAUGGGUGAGAGCCUGAUCCAGCCAUCCCGCGUGAAGGACGACGGCCCUAUGGGUUGUAAACUUCUUUUGUAUAGGGAUAAACCUACCCUCGUGAGGGUAGCUGAAGGUACUAUACGAAUAAGCACCGGCUAACUCCGUGCCAGCAGCCGCGGUAAUACGGAGGGUGCAAGCGUUAUCCGGAUUUAUUGGGUUUAAAGGGUCCGUAGGCGGAUCUGUAAGUCAGUGGUGAAAUCUCACAGCUUAACUGUGAAACUGCCAUUGAUACUGCAGGUCUUGAGUGUUGUUGAAGUAGCUGGAAUAAGUAGUGUAGCGGUGAAAUGCAUAGAUAUUACUUAGAACACCAAUUGCGAAGGCAGGUUACUAAGCAACAACUGACGCUGAUGGACGAAAGCGUGGGGAGCGAACAGGAUUAGAUACCCUGGUAGUCCACGCCGUAAACGAUGCUAACUCGUUUUUGGAAUGUAAGUUUCAGAGACUAAGCGAAAGUGAUAAGUUAGCCACCUGGGGAGUACGAACGCAAGUUUGAAACUCAAAGGAAUUGACGGGGGCCCGCACAAGCGGUGGAUUAUGUGGUUUAAUUCGAUGAUACGCGAGGAACCUUACCAAGGCUUAAAUGGGAAAUGACAGGUUUAGAAAUAGACUUUUCUUCGGACAUUUUUCAAGGUGCUGCAUGGUUGUCGUCAGCUCGUGCCGUGAGGUGUUAGGUUAAGUCCUGCAACGAGCGCAACCCCUGUCACUAGUUGCCAUCAUUAAGUUGGGGACUCUAGUGAGACUGCCUACGCAAGUAGAGAGGAAGGUGGGGAUGACGUCAAAUCAUCACGGCCCUUACGCCUUGGGCCACACACGUAAUACAAUGGCCGGUACAGAGGGCAGCUACACUGCGAAGUGAUGCAAAUCUCGAAAGCCGGUCUCAGUUCGGAUUGGAGUCUGCAACUCGACUCUAUGAAGCUGGAAUCGCUAGUAAUCGCGCAUCAGCCAUGGCGCGGUGAAUACGUUCCCGGGCCUUGUACACACCGCCCGUCAAGCCAUGGAAGUCUGGGGUAC
rnacentral:rRNA from 1 species